rnacentral:rRNA from 1 species
CAGCACCUCAAGUGGUCAGGAUGAUUAUUGGGCCUAAAGCAUCCGUAGCCGGCGCUGUAAGUUUUCGGUUAAAUCUGUACGCUCAACGUACAGGCUGCCGGGAAUACUGCAGCGCUAGGGAGUGGGAGAGGUAGACGGUACUCGGUAGGAAGGGGUGAAAUCCUUUGAUCUAUUGAUGACCACCUGUGGCGAAGGCGGUCUACCAGAACACGUCCGACGGUGAGGGGUGAAAGCUGGGGGAGCAAACCGGAUUAGAUACCCGCGUAGUCC